AACGAACGCUGGCGGCAUGCCUAACACAUGCAAGUCGAACGAGACCUUCGGGUCUAGUGGCGCACGGGUGCGUAACGCGUGGGAACCUGCCCUUAGGUUCGGAAUAACUCCCCGAAAGGGGUGCUAAUACCGGAUAAUGUCUUCGGACCAAAGAUUUAUCGCCUUUGGAUGGGCCCGCGUUGGAUUAGCUAGUUGGUAGGGUAAAAGCCUACCAAGGCGACGAUCCAUAGCUGGUCUGAGAGGAUGAUCAGCCACACUGGGACUGAGACACGGCCCAGACUCCUACGGGAGGCAGCAGUGGGGAAUAUUGGACAAUGGGCGAAAGCCUGAUCCAGCAAUGCCGCGUGAGUGAUGAAGGCCUUUGGGUUGUAAAGCUCUUUUACCCGGGAUGAUAAUGACAGUACCGGGAGAAUAAGCGCCGGCUAACUCCGUG
rnacentral:rRNA from 1 species